UACGUAGGGUGCAAGCGUUAAUCGGAAUUACUGGGCGUAAAGCGUGCGCAGGCGGUUUUGUAAGUCUGUCGUUAAAUCCCCGGGCUUAACCUGGGAAUGGCGAUGGAGACUGCAAGGCUAGAGUUUGGCAGAGGGGGGUAGAAUUCCACGUGUAGCAGUGAAAUGCGUAGAGAUGUGGAGGAACACCGAUGGCGAAGGCAGCCCCCUGGGUCAAAACUGACGCUCAUGCACGAAAGCGUGGGGAGCAAACAGG
rnacentral:rRNA from 1 species